rnacentral:rRNA from 1 species
GAGCAAUUAUGGUUAAGCUACUAAGAGCACACGGAGGAUGCCUAGGCGCUAGGAGCCGAUGAAGGACGUGGCGAACAACGAAACUGCCUCGGGGAGCUGUAAGCAAGCUUUGAUCCGGGGGUGUCCGAAUGGGGAAACCCAGCUGGGGUAAUUUCCAGUUACUCACAACUGAAUACAUAGGUUGUGUAGAGGCAUACCAAGGGAACUGAAACAUCUAAGUACCUUGAGGAAGAGAAAACAAUAGUGAUUCCGUCAGUAGCGGCGAGCGAACGCGGAGAAGCCCAAACCAGAGAGCUUGCUCUUUGGGGUUGUGGGACGUCUCACAUGGAGUUACAAAGGAACCGGUUAAGUGAAGAGGUCUGGAAAGGCCCGCCAAAGAAGGUAAAAGCCCUGUA